rnacentral:rRNA from 1 species
AGCAGCCGCGGUAAUUCCAGCUCCAAUAGCGUAUAUUAAAGUUGUUGCAGUUAAAAAGCUCGUAGUUGAAUUUCGGGGUCAGUAGAUUGGUCGUGCCACUGGUAUGUACUGGUCUUACUGGCUCCUCCUUCCUGAUGAACCGUAAUGCCAUUAAUUUGGUGUUGCGGGGAGACUGGACUGUUACUUUGAAAAAAUUAGAGUGUUUAAAGCAGGCUAACGCUUGAAUACAUUAGCAUGGAAUAAUGAAAUAGGACGUUCGAUCUUAUUUUGUUGGUUUCUAGGAUUGACGUAAUGAUUAAUAGGGAUAGUUGGGGGCAUUAGUAUUCAAUUGUCAGAGGUGAAAUUCUUGGAUUUAUUGAAGACUAACUACUGCGAAAGCAUUUGCCAAGGAUGUUUUCAUUAAUCAAGAACGAAAGUUAGGGGAUCGAAGACGAUCAGAUACCGUCGUAG